UCUGACCUCUGGAACUGUAAGGUGGUAGCUGCAAGAACUCUUAGUAUGUUGACCUCACCUCUGCCUUCCACAUACCACUACCAGUGAGGAAUUAGGAAUGCAUGAGAAGAGUGUCCAAGAAGAGUGUCCUCAUUCAUGCAAGGCUUAAGAGAGAAUGCAGGUCAACAUCACCAUGUCAAUCAGAGAAUACUUCUGUUGGGUUGAAUGACUCUCUGCCCCCAGUCUGACUGGUUGGAAGAGGCCCUUUUCCCAGCCUUUGU
rnacentral:lncRNA from 1 species